rnacentral:rRNA from 1 species
GAUGAACGCUGGCGGCGUGCCUAAUACAUGCAAGUCGAGCGAAUGGAUUAAGAGCUUGCUCUUAUGAAGUUAGCGGCGGACGGGUGAGUAACACGUGGGUAACCUGCCCAUAAGACUGGGAUAACUCCGGGAAACCGGGUCUAAUACCGGAGAACAUUUUGAACCGCAUGGUUCGAAAUUGAAAGGCGGCUUCGGCUGUCACUAAUGGAUGGACCCGGGUCGCAUUAGCUAGUUGGUGAGGUAACGGCUCACCAAGGCAACGAUGCGUAGCCGACCUGAGAGGGUGAUCGGCCACACUGGGACUGAGACACGGCCCAGACUCCCACGGGAGGCAGCAGUAGGGAAUCUUCCGCAAUGGACGAAAGUCUGACGGAGCAACGCCGCGUGAGUGAUGUAGGCUUUCGGGUCGUAAAACUCUGUUGUUAGGGAAGAACAAGUGCUGGUUGAAUAAGCUGGCACCUUGACGGUACCUAACCAGAGAGCCACGGCUAACUACGUGCCAGCAGCCGCCGUAA